rnacentral:rRNA from 1 species
UACCCGUCUUGAAACACGGACCAAGGAGUCUAACAUGCGCGCGAGUCGUUGGGUCGGACACGCUCCGCUAAACCCAUAGGCGCAAUGAAAGUGAAGGCCACCUCGACGGGGCCGAGGGAGGACGGGGCGGGUCCCCUCGCGGGGACGGCUCCCGCACUCCCGGGGCGUCNGAUUCCUCAUCGCGAGGGAAGGCGCACCCAGAGCGCACACGUUGGGACCCGAAAGAUGGUGAACUAU